rnacentral:lncRNA from 1 species
CAAAUCAGAGAAUCUCUCCACGCAAUUUUUUGUUGCAUGUGAAUUCUGUAAUUGCACGGGAUCCAGUCACUUUUAUCCAGGCCGCUCGUUCUAUAUGCCAAGUAGAGAUGGUUGGUGAAAGACCUUACAUCGUGUUAGUCAAAGAAAAAGAGAAAUCAAAAGACAAAGAGAAGGAUAAGGAUAAGGACAGAGCUGACAAAGAGAAAUCUCAGACUUCUAAUGAAGUUGCAACUACCACUCCCCCUGGGAGCACCAAGGCUAAAGUUUACCGGAAACCUCCUCAGUCGUUCAUUGGUGUUGUUGAGCUGCUUCUGGAUUCUCUCUGUAAUUUCGUUCCUCCUCCAAAAGAUGACAUGGUUGAAGGUGAUUCUACUUCAGCAGACAUGGAUAUUGAUCAUGCCUCUACUAAGGGAAAAGGCAAAGCGGUUGCUACUACACCUGCAGAAAAGAAAGCUAUUUCACAGGGCAUGUCAGCUUCAUUGGCUAAAAUUGUUUUCAUUCUGAAGCUUUUGAGUGAGAUGUUGUUAAUGUAUUCUUCGUCAAUCCAUAUAAUACUUCGAAGAGAUGCUGAAAUUAAAAGUCUUAGAGGUCCUCAACAGAAGGGUGGUCAAGUUGGUGGAAUAUUUCAUCAUAUUCUUCGAAAAUUUAUUCCAUACUCACGGGUGAUGAAGGAAAAGAAAUCUGAGAGUGAUUGGCGGCAAAAGCUGACAAGUAGGGCUAAUCAGUUUUUAGUGGGUGCAUCUGUUAGAUCAGCUGAAGCAAGGAAGAGGAUAUUUUCUGACAUUAGCAGUAUCUUCAAUGACUUCAUAGGUACCUCCAAUGGGCUUAGACCUCCAGUUAAUGAAAUACACGUUUUGAUAGUUUUGUUGAAUGAUAUGCUCUCUGCUCGGUCACCUACUGGAUCACAUAUAUCUUCAGAAGCUUCGAAUACUUUUGUUGAUGUUGGAUUGGUUAAGUCUCUUACUCGUACUCUUGAAGUGUUGGACAUGGACAACGUAGAAUCUACCAAAACUGUAACAGGAAUCAUAAAAGUUUUGGAGUUGGUGACUAAGGAGCAUGCCUAUUCUGCUGAUUCAAACUCGAAGAAUGAAACUGCGAACAACUCAUCUGAUCAAAUUCAAUCAGGAAGAGGAGAUACUACUGCUGAUGCUUCUGAAGCAGGGGAAAUUAUGCUGCGAUCGAAUCAUGAUUCCAUGACAGCUGAUCAUGCGGAGAAUUUUGGCGGUUCAGAAGAUGUGACAGAUGACAUGGAGCAUGAUCAAGACUUGGAUGAAGGAUUUGCCGCAGGUGUGGAUGAUUAUAUGCAAGAAGAGCCUGAGGAUGCUAGGGGGUUGGAAAACGGGAUUGGGUCGAUGGGUAUAGAGUUUGAGAUGCAUACCCACGUGCCGGAAAAUCUUGAUGAAGAGGAUGAAGAGGACGAAGAUGAUGAAGAUCGGGUAAUUCUUAGGUUUGAGGAUGGAAUCAAUGGGCUAAACGUUCUUGAUCAUUUGGAGGUUCUUAGAGAUCAUAGAUUUUCUGAUGAAACACUUCAUGUAAUGCCUGUUGAAGUUUUUGGCUCGAGACGUCAAGGACGAACAACUUCUAUUUACAGCCUUCUUGGCAGAACUGGGGAUGGUGCUACUCCUUCACAGCAUCCUCUUUUAUCGGGAUCUCCAUCACUUCCAGUGUCGCAAAGUCAAACAGGUUCUCUUUUGUUUUUACUUGUGUUCAUUUCCCUUUUAUGUUUUGUUAUAUUUAAGUUUGCUACCAGAUUACAUUUUGUUUGUGUUGAUCUUCCUGAAGGAAUAAUUUGUUAAUCGACUGUUUUCUUCUCUUUGUAGAAAGCACACAUGAUCAUACUGUUGGAGGUAGGGAUUCCAACGGUAGUUCUUCGUCACGGCUGGAUGCUAUAUUCCGAUCUUUGAGGAAUGGCCGGCAGGGGCAUCGUUUGAAUUUAUGGGCUGAUGACAGCCAGCAAAUUGUUGGAUCUGGCGCUUCUACCGUACCACAAGGCCUUGAAGAUUUGCUGGUAUCUCAGUUGAGACGUCCCGGCUCUGAUAAUCCUUCUGAUCAGAAUCCAUCACCUUUGGAACCCCAGUCACAGGCCGAGAGUGGGCAGCCCCAGGAGGCAACUGUCAGACCUGAAAUUCCAGAUGAAAACGCCACUGGUAAUGGAGGUGCCAAUGUGUCUGCUCCCUCUAUCGUUUCGCCAGUUGCAUCUGCUACCCCGGAUACACGAGCCCCUGCUACUGAUUCUGUCUCAAGCUCGCGGUCUCAGUCAGUCGAAAUGCAAUAUGAUCCAAAUGAUUCAACUGUUCGGGAUGUUGAAGCGGUGAGUCAAGAAAGCGGUGGGAGUGGGGCAACCUUGGGUGAAAGCCUUAGGAGUUUGGAUGUUGAGAUCGGAAGUGCUGAUGGACAUGAUGAUGGUGCAGAAAGGCAUGAUGUACAGCCAGCUAUGCGCUCAAGAAGAGCAAAUUUGUCAGUUGUGCCAUCUUCAACUGGGCGAGAAGCUUCUCUUUAUAGUGUAACUGAGGUUCCUGAGAACUCCGGUCACGAGGCUGAGCAGGAUAAUCCACCAGAGGAGCAACCAGUUAACAGGGAUGUUGCUUCUAGUUCUAUUGAUCCUGCGUUUUUAGAUGCCCUACCUGAGGGACUGCGAGCUGAAUUGAUGAGAGCAAACAAGACAAGCUGCAAUCUGUUUUUGGCUCUCCACAGCUUGUUGAUGCUGACGAUCAGAAGAAGUUGAUUGAGAUUGCUUGUACAUGUAUCCGGAAUCAGCUUCCUUCUGAAACUAUGCAUGCUGUUUUACAACUGUGUUCUACAUUGACAAGGAAGCAUUCUGUUGCUGUCUGCUUUCUUGAUUUUGGAGGUGUGCAAGGACUGCUUUCUCUGCCGAGUAAUAGUCUUUUUCCAGGGUUUGACUCAGUUGCUGCUAGUAUCAUCCGUCAUAUUCUUGAAGACCCCCAAACGCUUCAGCAAGCCAUGGAAUCUGAGAUAAAACAUGCUCUUGCAACACUUUCCAACAGGCACUCAAAUCAGAGAAUCUCUCCACGCAAUUUUUUGUUGCAUGUGAAUUCUGUAAUUGCUCGGGAUCCAGUCACUUUUAUCCAGGCCGCUCGUUCUAUAUGCCAAGUAGAGAUGGUUGGUGAAAGACCUUACAUCGUGUUAGUCAAAGAAAAAGAGAAAUCAAAAGACAAAGAGAAGGAUAAGGAUAAGGAUAAGGACAGAGCUGACAAAGAGAAAUCUCAGACUUCUAAUGAAGUUGCAACUACCACUCC